rnacentral:rRNA from 1 species
UACCAGCACCCCGAGUGGUCGGGACGUUUAUUGGGCCUAAAGCAUCCGUAGCCGGUUCUACAAGUCUUCCGUUAAAUCCACCUGCUUAACAGAUGGGCUGCGGAAGAUACUAUAGAGCUAGGAGGCGGGAGAGGCAAGCGGUACUCGAUGGGUAGGGGUAAAAUCCGUUGAUCCAUUGAAGACCACCAGUGGCGAAGGCGGCUUGCCAGAACGCACUCGACGAUGAGGGAUGAAAGCUGGGGGAGCAAACCGG